GCGCUCGCUUCGGCAGCACGUAGACUGAAAUCGGAAUGAUACAGAGAAAACGAGCAUGGCCCCUGCACAAGGAUGGCAUGCAAAUUUGUGAAGUGUUCCAUAUUUAU